AUGAACGCUGGCGGCGUGCCUAAUACAUGCAAGUCGAGCGAACAGAUGAGGAGCUUGCUCCUCUGACGUUAGCGGCGGACGGGUGAGUAACACGUGGAUAACCUACCUAUAAGACUGGGAUAACUUCGGGAAACCGGAGCUAAUACCGGAUAAUAUAUUGAACCGCAUGGUUCAAUAGUGAAAGACGGUUUUGCUGUCACUUAUAGAUGGAUCCGCGCCGCAUUAGCUAGUUGGUAAGGUAACGGCUUACCAAGGCAACGAUGCGUAGCCGACCUGAGAGGGUGAUCGGCCACACUGGAACUGAGACACGGUCCAGACUCCUACGGGAGGCAGCAGUAGGGAAUCUUCCGCAAUGGGCGAAAGCCUGACGGAGCAACGCCGCGUGAGUGAUGAAGGUCUUCGGAUCGUAAAACUCUGUUAUUAGGGAAGAACAAAUGUGUAAGUAACUAUGCACGUCUUGAUGGUACCUAAUCAGAAAGCCACGGCUAACUACGUG
rnacentral:rRNA from 1 species